CUCGUAGGCGGCUUGUCGCGUCUGCUGUGAAAACCCGGAGCUCAACUCCGGGCCUGCAGUGGGUACGGGCAGGCUAGAGUGCGGUAGGGGAGAUUGGAAUUCCUGGUGUAGCGGUGGAAUGCGCAGAUAUCAGGAGGAACACCGAUGGCGAAGGCAGAUCUCUGGGCCGCUACUGACGCUGAGGAGCGAAAGCGUGGGGAGCGAACA
rnacentral:rRNA from 1 species